GUGAUCAAGCUCUAUGUGACUAGUGAAAACCGUAUCCCAAUAUUUGUUAAUUAUAUUACAUUCCUAUUUAAAUUUCGAUCAAAUCAAAUGGUAAUUUUGUUAUGCCUGCUGCCAAAUCCAAAAACUCUUAGCAACUUGUCACUUAGAGAUUCCAUCAUGCUUUUCUAUUGCUCAUUAGGAGCUCGUUAAACUAAAAUCGAAAAGGAUGCUGACUUGUAAUCUUCUUGUCAUUUCCACU